AUUUUCAGUUUGUGUAAUGUUCUGUUAUGUAGACCGUUUGUCAGCUAGGCCCCACUUUGGAAGGACCAUUGCUUGAAAAAUUCUCCUGGAUAGGACCAUCCUAAGUUCAAUAAUUUGGCCUACAAAGUGACAGUUUAGAAGUGAAAUGCGGCAAUGGUCCACAUUCGGCUUUCAAUCUGGGAGGGUUGGGAAGUGUGGUCCAUCCACAGCAGGUCACAUACCCAAGAAUAUAUAAAGCAUGCUUGAGUCUUCAAGUUAAGCUUCCUUUAUUUCAGGCUAAAAGAAAAGAAUGGCCAAUUGAGAAGCUGAGGAAGUUUGAGGUCCCCAAAGCUCCAAAAUAUAUUUUCCUAUCAUUUGUCUAAUGGGACAUGCACCAAUACACUCUGCCAACACUCUUAUGUAACCUGUCUCGCUGCAGCAGAAAAAAAAUGUAAUUUCUAUCUCAAAAUCCUCAAGCAAAUUUCAUUUAUUUUUUA